rnacentral:tRNA from 1 species
AGGAACUUAAGUUAUACUAAAACUAGGGGCCUUCAAAGCCCUCAAAAAAGACAAUUUAGUUCCUG